AGAGUUUGAUUCUGGCUCAGAACGAACGCUGGCGGCGUGGAUAAGACAUGCAAGUCGAACGAGAGAAUUGCUAGCUUGCUAAUAAUUCUCUAGUGGCGCACGGGUGAGUAACACGUGAGUAACCUGCCCCCGAGAGCGGGAUAGCCCUGGGAAACUGGGAUUAAUACCGCAUAGUAUCGAAAGAUUAAAGCAGCAAUGCGCUUGGGGAUGGGCUCGCGGCCUAUUAGUUAGUUGGUGAGGUAACGGCUCACCAAGGCGAUGACGGGUAGCCGGUCUGAGAGGAUGUCCGGCCACACUGGAACUGAGACACGGUCCAGACACCUACGGGUGGCAGCAGUCGAGAAUCAUUCACAAUGGGGGAAACCCUGAUGGUGCGACGCCGCGUGGGGGAAUGAAGGUCUUCGGAUUGUAAACCCCUGUCAUGUGGGAGCAAAUUAAAAAGAUAGUACCACAAGAGGAAGAGACGGCUAACUCUGUGCCAGCAGCCGCGGUAAUACAGAGGUCUCAAGCGUUGUUCGGAAUCACUGGGCGUAAAGCGUGCGUAGGCUGUUUCGUAAGUCGUGUGUGAAAGGCGCGGGCUCAACCCGCGGACGGCACAUGAUACUGCGAGACUAGAGUAAUGGAGGGGGAACCGGAAUUCUCGGUGUAGCAGUGAAAUGCGUAGAUAUCGAGAGGAACACUCGUGGCGAAGGCGGGUUCCUGGACAUUAACUGACGCUGAGGCACGAAGGCCAGGGGAGCGAAAGGGAUUAGAUACCCCUGUAGUCCUGGCAGUAAACGGUGCACGCUUGGUGUGCGGGGAAUCGACCCCCUGCGUGCCGGAGCUAACGCGUUAAGCGUGCCGCCUGGGGAGUACGGUCGCAAGAUUAAAACUCAAAGAAAUUGACGGGGACCCGCACAAGCGGUGGAGUAUGUGGCUUAAUUCGAUGCAACGCGAAGAACCUUACCUGGGCUUGACAUGUAAUGAACAACAUGUGAAAGCAUGCGACUCUUCGGAGGCGUUACACAGGUGCUGCAUGGCCGUCGUCAGCUCGUGUCGUGAGAUGUUUGGUUAAGUCCAACAACGAGCGCAACCCCUGUUGCCAGUUACCAGCACGUGAAGGUGGGGACUCUGGCGAGACUGCCCAGAUCAACUGGGAGGAAGGUGGGGACGACGUCAGGUCAGUAUGGCCCUUAUGCCCAGGGCUGCACACGUACUACAAUGCCCAGUACAGAGGGGGCCGAAGCCGCGAGGCGGAGGAAAUCCUAAAAACUGGGCCCAGUUCGGACUGUAGGCUGCAACCCGCCUACACGAAGCCGGAAUCGCUAGUAAUGGCGCAUCAGCUACGGCGCCGUGAAUACGUUCCCGGGUCUUGUACACACCGCCCGUCACAUCAUGGAAGCCGGUCGCACCCGAAGUAUCUGAAGCCAACCGCAAU
rnacentral:rRNA from 1 species